GGGGCAGCAUGGUCUUAGCUUGCUAAGACUGAUGGCGACCGGCGCACGGGUGAGUAACACGUAUCCAACCUGCCGUCUACUCUUGGACAGCCUUCUGAAAGGAAGAUUAAUACAAGAUGGCAUCAUGAGUCCGCAUGUUCACAUGAUUAAAGGUAUUCCGGUAGACGAUGGGGAUGCGUUCCAUUAGAUAGUAGGCGGGGUAACGGCCCACCUAGUCUUCGAUGGAUAGGGGUUCUGAGAGGAAGGUCCCCCACAUUGGAACUGAGACACGGUCCAAACUCCUACGGGAGGCAGCAGUGAGGAAUAUUGGUCAAUGGGCGAGAGCCUGAACCAGCCAAGUAGCGUGAAGGAUGACUGCCCUAUGGGUUGUAAACUUCUUUUAUAAAGGAAUAAAGUCGGGUAUGGAUACCCAUUUGCAUGUACUUUAUGAAUAAGGAUCGGCUAACUCCGUGCCAGCAGCCGCGGUAAUACGGAGGAUCCGAGCGUUAUCCGGAUUUAUUGGGUUUAAAGGGAGCGUAGAUGGAUGUUUAAGUCAGUUGUGAAAGUUUGCGGCUCAACCGUAAAAUUGCAGUUGAUACUGGAUAUCUUGAGUGCAGUUGAGGCAGGCGGAAUUCGUGGUGUAGCGGUGAAAUGCUUAGAUAUCACGAAGAACUCCG
rnacentral:rRNA from 1 species